rnacentral:rRNA from 1 species
CCCUGAAAAUGGAUGGCGCUGGAGCGUUNNACCCAUUACCNGACCGCUUCGGCAAGGCAUGUUCAUAUGCGAUGACAAGCCGAAGCGAGUAGGAGGGNNGCCGCGGUGGGCGCCGAAGCCUGGGACGCGAGUCUGGGUGGAGCNNCC